rnacentral:rRNA from 1 species
AACGAACGCUGGCGGCAGGCCUAACACAUGCAAGUCGAACGGGAUCUUCGGAUCUAGUGGCGGACGGGUGAGUAACGCGUGGGAACGUGCCCUUUGGUUCGGAAUAGCCCUGGGAAACUGGGAGUAAUACCGGAUACGGUCGAGAGACGAAAGAUUUAUCGCCGAAGGAUCGGCCCGCGUUGGAUUAGGUAGUUGGUGGGGUAAAGGCCUACCAAGCCGACGAUCCAUAGCUGGUUUGAGAGGAUGAUCAGCCACACUGGGACUGAGACACGGCCCAGACUCCUACGGGAGGCAGCAGUGGGGAAUCUUAGACAAUGGGGGAAACCCUGAUCUAGCCAUGCCGCGUGAGCGAUGAAGGCCUUAGGGUUGUAAAGCUCUUUCGUGGGGGAAGAUAAUGACUGUACCCCAAGAAGAAGCCCCGGCUAACUCCGUGCCAGCCGCCGCCGUAACAC